AAUGAACGUUGGCGGCGUGGAUUAGGCAUGCAAGUCGAGCGAGAACUUCCCGCAAGGGGAGGGACAGCGGCGUAAGGGAGAGUAAUGCGUAGGUACCUACCCUUGGGACUGGGAUAGCCGCGGGAAACUGCGGGUAAUACCAGAUGACGUCUUCGGACCAAAGGUGUGAUUCCGCCCGAGGAGGGGCCUACGUCCUAUUAGCUAGUUGGUGAGGUAACGGCUUACCAAGGCCAUGAUGGGUACGGGGUGUGAGAGCAUGCCCCCGCUCACUGGGACUGAGACACUGCCCAGACACCUACGGGUGGCUG
rnacentral:rRNA from 1 species